rnacentral:misc_RNA from 1 species
GACACAAUCACUUUUGAUUACCAUUAUACGCAGCUUAGCUGACGCAUCUUCACACUCAUCCAAGUCAUAUAAACCCUAAUUCCUAAUCAAAGCAUCUUUUGCAUUAAUUCUUACAUAUAAUAUAAACAAAUUAACAGAAGCCGCCAUGAAAGGAAAAGUACAAGCAACGACUUGAAGCAAAUUAAUGCAUGGAUAGAAAAAAGGAAAAAGAUAAAGUGAAAAAGGAGGGAUUGCAUUGGACAUAUUCUUCUUUUCCAGGAAUUCCAAGAUCAGCCCAAGCAUGGUUUGUAAAUGUUCUAUAAAGGGCGUGGCUUCAACAUCCUAUAUAUAUCUGAAGUUGCGAAAAGCGGCACAGCAUCCAAUAUAUACUUUGAUUCUCUUGGAUGAUAACUUGGCCCUAGAAAAGCUUACCUCAUAUAUCUAUCAAAUGGCUAAUAUGCAAAUUGUUCCAGCUUCCAAGAAUGUGGAGGCACAGUAUGUGGAGAUGAUGGUCCCUCUGUAUUCCUAUGGGUGUGAGAGGAAAGUGAAGAAGACUCUAUCCCAUCUCAAAGGUAUAUAUAUAAAACAAAUUUCUAAUUUCUAAUUUGCUCCCAUGUCCAAUUUUCCAUUCUAGAAUGCAUUCAUUAGCUAUCAGUUCAUAUAGAUUUUCUUCAAUUCUUGUUUUUUAAUCAGAUAUUUUUCAUUUUACGAUUCAUAUUUUGCACAUAAAUUUAGAAUUUUUUUACCUUUUUUUUUUGUACAUAUUCAGAUUCUCUCAUUAUUAAUAAAAUUAUUAUCCACUAAAUUUGAAAUAACUAAUAAACAUAGGCCCAAGAUUGAGACCUGUGGACCAACAGGAGAAGCAUGGGCCGAUCAAACAUGCAGUCAUUAAGUGUUGGUCCAUUGAAUGAGGAAAAUAGUAACCAAGAAUCCAUCCGCUCCACCCAUCAUUUUAUUCUCCUUUCACUUUUUUUUAAUCAAUUUACAUAUGAAUUGGCAUUCUAUGCAGGAAUUUAUUCAGUAAAUGUAGAUUACUAUCAACAGAAGGUGACGGUGUGGGGAAUAUGCAACAAAUAUGAUGUGUUAGCAACCAUGAAAAGCAAGAGAAAAGAAGCUCGUUUUUGGAAUCCAGAAGACAGCAUUGUUGAUCAAAUGGAAGAAUCACAGGCACAACCCACUAAUAAGGAGGGCUCUAAGCCUUCUUCUUUAGGACUAAUGAAGGCUCGCUCUCUAAGCUGGAAGGCUUGGAGAAAGGUCUUCACUAGAUCACUUUCCUUGUAAUUAAAUAAAAGAAAUUAAAUUUGUACAUAAAAUGAACUCAUUGUUCAAUCAUUUCGGCUAAGUAAUCUGGUGCUUGUUCCCAUUAUACAGAGAAGCAGCAGCUUUCCCUUUUUUCUCUCUUUUUCUUUUCAUUCCUUCUCCUUAUACUUGUUGGGUAGAAUUAGGAACCUGUCAUGUCUCUAUACAUACAUAGAUGGCUCUAUUCUUUGAAUUUAAAUCCAUGAUUGCUGCUUAUCUCUCAGGUUAGCCGCGUUAGGUGAUAAAAGUCGAGGCCUGUCGCUGAUUUCUAUUCUUUGAAUCUCUUCAUUCUCUGAAUUUAAUUACACAAUUCAG